CGUAGGGUGCAAGCGUUAAUCGGAAUUACUGGGCGUAAAGCGUGCGCAGGCGGUCUUGCAAGACAGAUGUGAAAUCCCCGGGCUCAACCUGGGAACUGCAUUUGUGACUGCAAGGCUGGAGUGCGGCAGAGGGGGAUGGAAUUCCGCGUGUAGCAGUGAAAUGCGUAGAUAUGCGGAGGAACACCGAUGGCGAAGGCAAUCCCCUGGGCCUGCACUGACGCUCAUGCACGAAAGCGUGGGGAGCAAACAGGAUUAGAUACCCUGGUAGUCCACGCCCUAAACGAUGUCAACUGGUUGUUGGGAAGGUUCCUUCUCAGUAACGUAGCUAACGCGUGAAGUUGACCGCCUGGGAGUACGGCCGCAAGGUUG
rnacentral:rRNA from 1 species